CCUACGGGAGGCUGCAGUGGGGGAUAUUGGUCAAUGGAGGAAACUCUGAACCAGCAACGCCGCGUGAAUGAUGAAGGUCUUCGGAUUGUAAAGUUCUUUUCUCAGGGAAGAAAGAAGUGACGGUACCUUACCAAUAAGCCUCGGCUAACUACGUGCCAGCAGCCGCGGUAAUACGUAGGGGGCAAGCGUUAUCCGGAAUGACUGGGCGUAAAGGGGGCGUAGGUGGUUUAGCAAGUCGGGAGCGUAACUCCGGGGCUCAACCCCGGAACUACUACCAAAACUGUCGGACUUGAGUGCAGGAGGGGUAAGUGGAAUUCCUAGUGUAGCGGUGGAAUGCGUAGAUAUUAGGAGGAACACCGGUGGCGAAGGCGAAUUGCUGGACUGUAACUGACACUGAGGCACGAAAGCGUUGGGAGCAAACAGGAUUAGAUACCCCGGUAGUC
rnacentral:rRNA from 1 species